GCGAAGCGAGAGAACGUUGCGUCAGCAACGGCCCGCAGGGCGAGCCACGCAGUGGCGAGUCAUCCUCUAUCACCGACCA
rnacentral:sRNA from 2 species